rnacentral:snoRNA from 1 species
AGGACUUUAUUUGAACAAGAUCUAUUCUAUAGGUUGUCCAUUUGUAUCCAAUGUCACAAUGGUGGCGUGUACCUCAUUGUGCACAAUGAUAUGAUGCCAUGUGGCCAGAGUGUGAAUGCCAGCUUUGGGCCCACCAUGAUUCUCUAGUCAUAGAGGACCCUACUCGCCGAACUACGGCUUGGAUAAGAUGGCCACAUGGCAGUCUGAUUUUAG